AGGAAGCAGUGGCGAAUGCAGCAGCUGUUUGUCCAUUCAAUUUGGAAGCAUAUGCUAAUUGAAUCAAAGGAAGGUCAGCAUCACGCCCUGCUCCGCGUGCUGCUCCAGUGAGAAACCCACCACAGCCAGAGCGCCAGGCUCCUCCUCCAGUUCCUGC